rnacentral:rRNA from 1 species
UAGGGAAUCUUCCACAAUGGACGCAAGCCUGAUGGAGCAACGCCGCGUGAGUGAAGAAGGUCUUCGGAUCGUAAAACUCUGUUGUUAGAGAAGAACAUGCAGGAGAGUAACUGUUCUUGUAUUGACGGUAUCUAACCAGAAAGCCACGGCUAACUACGUGCUAG